UAUGUAGUCUAGGCUGACCCUGAACUCACUCUGUAGCCCAGGCUGUCCUCAAACUCUGAAAUCCUCCUGCCUCAGCCUCCCCAGUGCUGGGACUACAGGCAUGCACCACCAUGUCC
rnacentral:miRNA from 1 species